rnacentral:rRNA from 1 species
AUUGAACGCUGGCGGCAGGCUUAACACAUGCAAGUCGAGCGGAGAUGAGGUGCUUGCACCUUAUCUUAGCGGCGGACGGGUGUGUAAUGCUUAGGAAUCUGCCUAUUAGUGGGGGACAACAUUCCGAAAGGAAUGCUAAUACCGCAUACGCCCUACGGGGGAAAGCAGGGGAUCUUCGGACCUUGCGCUAAUAGAUGAGCCUAAGUCGGAUUAGCUAGUUGGUGGGGUAAAGGCCUACCAAGGCGACGAUCUGUAGCGGGUCUGAGAGGAUGAUCAGCCACACUGGGACUGGGACACGGCCCAGACUCCUACGGGAGGCAGCAGUGGGGAAUAUUGGACAAUGGGCGGAAGCCUGAUCCAGCCAUGCCGCGUGUGUGAAGAAGGCCUUUUGGUUGUAAAGCACUUUAAGCGAGGAGGAGGCUACCUGGAUUAAUACUCUAGGAUAGUGGACGUUACUCGCAGAGUAAGCACCGGCUAACUCUGUGCCAGCCGCCGCAGUAA